UACAGAGGGUGCGAGCGUUGUCCGGAAUCACUGGGCGUAAAGGGCGCGUAGGCGGCCUGGUAAGUAGGGGGGUGAAAUGCUGCGGCUUAACCGCAGCGCUGCCUUCUAAACUGUCAGGCUCGAGCACGGUAGAGGCUGGUGGAAUUCCCGGUGUAGCGGUGGAAUGCGUAGAGAUCGGGAAGAACAUCGGUGGCGAAGGCGGCCAGCUGGGCCGUUGCUGACGCUGAGGCGCGAAAGCGUGGGGAGCAAACAGG
rnacentral:rRNA from 1 species